rnacentral:rRNA from 1 species
UACGGGGGGAGCAAGCGUUGUUCGGAUUUACUGGGCGUAAAGGGCGCGUAGGCGGUCAGCACAAGUCAGUUGUGAAAUCUCCGGGCUUAACUCGGAAAGGUCAACUGAUACUGUGCGACUAGAGUGCAGAAGGGGCAACUGGAAUUCUCGGUGUAGCGGUGAAAUGCGUAGAUAUCGAGAGGAACACCUGCGGCGAAGGCGGGUUGCUGGGACGUAACUGACGCUGAGACGCGAAAGCGUGGGGAGCAAACAGG